rnacentral:tRNA from 1 species
GCCGAUAUAGCUCAGUUGGUAGAGCAACUGAUUUGUAAUCAGUGGGUCGGAGGUUCAAAUCCUUCUAUCGGCACCA